rnacentral:lncRNA from 1 species
UUUAAUACUUCAUUUAUCUAUAUUCUGAAAGCUUACCUAUCAGAUGUUUAAAUUUAGUUAAUAAAAAUAUAUGUCUAUAAACUACGCAGACGAUAGUCUGACUUUUAUAAAAUUAAUGUUAAUUUUUGUGAAAUAUUUUGUCUCAAAAAAUGCAUUGUUUCGACAGAAAAACUUUCAAGAUCGUCCUACUAUUAUCACUAUAAUUUUCAGGUUAAAAUAAAAACCAAUAAUAGGCACAAAUUUUAUUUACACCGAAGGAAAUAACAUACAAACGAAUAGGUUUAAUCCACGAACGUUAUAAAUAACAUAAAGACAAAUCUUUAUAAAAAGUCUUUAUUAACUUCGUUAAGUUCCCUUUUGAAUUUUUUAUCGGAACGAUAACUCGAUAUAAAUCCCGGUACGAAGCAAGUUCUUUUAGUGUAAGCUUUCUUGGCACUCAUAUUUAAAUAAUAUUAACCACCAAAACCAAUAAUCUUAUAUUAACUACGAAUAAUUAAUUAUUUUCGAAAUUUUCACAUUCACUCCAAUGCAAAAGUAGCAUCUAUUUCUACGCCACCGCCGCCCUAGCGAGAAACCAAGCAAACAGGCAAAAUUGUGUACAAAAAUUUCAAGGUCGUCCUAUCUCGAUUCCUCUCCUCUGUGUAGGUCUCCAUAUUUCUAUCUAAAAACAAAUCAAAACAUAAACCUAACCUUACAAUCCUUACAUAACCACAAAGUUGUCUCAUAACUGCACCCAUAGAUAUAUAAUACUCUAGAUUGCGCCCUGCGAUCUUAAAAUGGGUGACGGUUGCGACAGAGAUAAAUGAGCCUAUUUGGUCGGUAGUCUCUUUUUAAUUUAAGGGGAAUAUCGACGACGUGACUAUCCCACUUUAUCGAGUAAUAUGUGUUGACAGCUGGAGCGGGUGGUGACGAGAAGUGGUCUUUGGUCUUCGGACGUGGAUAAUCGUGGUUCGAAUCCCAUACCAACUUUACCUUUUUUAUUUUUAUUUAAUCAAUAUUGCGUUUAUUAGAUAUUUUUACAUCUGAAAAAUGGACCUAAGUAAAUCUAGCAGAUAAUAAAUGUACCUAUGUAUAGUAAGUUAAUAUUGGAAUACAUAAUUUGUGAACUGCAUAGUAAAAUAAAAGUCAUUCGUUAUUAAUAUAAAUUCGUCCUUAUUCGAAUGAUGUGAAUAUUUGUUUUGCUUCUACUUUUUUAAAAAAUUGUAACAAUAGUUUCAUAAAUAAAAAUAAUGUCUAAUUACUUAUAAUUGAAUGGGUCAUUUCAAAAACAGCAAAGUCCACAAUUUUGGGAAACUAACUUUUUGAGAGGAAUAGACUCCUUUAAGAUAAACGUUGUGUGCAAAAACGACACCAGUCCAGUAAAAACAUUAGGAACAAAACUACAAUAUAACUCUGAAUUUUGAUGUCAUCCAUUUCAUCCAUCUUUCGACUAUAUAGUUAAGUUUUCUUUGCUCUUCUGUAAAAUUAGGAAUAUGUGACUCGUAUUGUUUUUGAAAUGACCGAUUCAAUUAAUAAAUCGAUGGUACAUUAUGUUGAUAUUAAUUAUUGGUAAUUUUUUACGAAUAUUUUUAAUUACUUUAUACUAUUCUACCAUUAACUUAUUAAAAAAAAUAACAUUGGCUUUUAUAUUUUUAAAAAUCUAUAGGUACCUACACAGUUUUUCUUAUUUGUUAUAUAUUUCUUUGCAUAGAUUUAUUUUAGAGAUGUAAUAAUAUCUAAUAAACGCAAUAUUGAUUAAAUAAAAAAUAAAAAAAGUAAAGAUUAGUAUGGGAUUCGAACCAGGAUUAUCCACGUCCGAAGACAAACGACCAGUUCUCGUCGCCAUCCGCUCGAACUGUCAAACCAUCUAAAAUACUCGAUGACAGAGUAGGAUAGUGACGUCGUCGAUACUCCCCUUGAAUUAGAAAGAGACUACCGACCAAAUAGGCUCAUUUAUCUCUGUCGCAACCGUCACCCAUUUUAAGAUCGUAAGGCGCAAUCUAGAGUAUUAUAAAUCUAUGACUGCACCAUAGAGUUAUAUUACCAUAUAUUAUGCACCAUAUAUUAGCAUAGAGAGAGUGUCAUUAAGAGCGAAGUGACGACACCAUCUUUUUUAUUUGGAUUAGUGCUGUUUCACUCUUACGCAUAGUAAAGCUGCGACAGUUGUGCUCACAGAUCACUUAACUCUCUUUAGAUGUUUCACGCAGGUAUCUCAAGGUCAUACUAAACUAAAUGUCAUUUUUAGUAAUGAUACGUUUUUUGAGAUGUCGCCAUGCACCUGGAGUGAAGAUUUCUUCUAUAUCACUGAGUCUGAGUGUCAUUAUAAUUUGUCAAUUGUCAUCAUUGUCAGUUUUUAUCUUUAUGUCAGUAAAAAUGUUUAUCUGAUAAUCUGAUUGUUAGCAGUAAUAAAAAAUCCUGAUUUAGAUAAAAUGGAUUCAAAUACAGUUUUUGAAACAAAACGAAUGUGAUUUGAAGAUCCAUAGGAAGAUCAAAUUCCUAGCUUACAUUUGCAUGUUGAAAGUCCUCAACAAGUAGAGAUGCACACAUGUUUCAAUCAUUUGAGAUACCCUUUUGUAGAAGUAUUUGGAAGAUAACUAUUAAUAAUUUCAUUUGUAAAGAUACGAUUUGUAAAAAAGUAUAUACAAAGUGGUUUUGCUGGUAUUAAAUAAAUAAAUAAAAAUAC